UGUAAUCGCGUUCUAACCUAUUGACCGCCAACUAGAAUAUCAUAAGCACGCUUUCGACACCCCAGCGACUUUCAGAGGUCAGACGGAUAGCCCAAAAGGUAUUCGUUGCAAUCCUCGAUCUUAAUCGUCACAUCUACCAAAGGCUAUAACACUCCGAUACGAGAUCGAAGCCACAUUCCUCCGAUCAUUUUAUGACGUUCAAAAUCGAUAUUGACCUACCAUACGGAAAAGUGCACAACAAAAGUACCAUAACGCAAAGCAACGAAGGCCGCGAAGCUCAACGUCACCC
rnacentral:rRNA from 1 species